rnacentral:lncRNA from 1 species
AUGGUUUUAUAAGGGGCUCUUCUCCCUUCGUUCAACACUUCUCCUUCCUGCCGCCUUGUGAAGAAGACGCCUUGCUUCCCCUUGGCCUUACACCAUGAUUGUAAGUUCCCUGAGGCCUCCCCAGUCAUGCUGAACUGAAGUUCUUGCUGCAUCCUGUGAACUGCUGGAACUUGCUGAUUGCACUUCAUAGACAAUUCCCCAAAGCCUGCAUUUGCAAAGCUGGCCUUUUCCAUUUGGAACACUCCUAGCAGCUACCAGUGCCACCCUCCCCACAGCCUCUCUGGCAAAGUAUGCUGGGGAACUUGGGGAUUUUUGCUAAGCUGAUUAGUUAGAUAUUGUGCAUCUCAGUGUAGUUUCAAUUACUAUUUUUCAUAUUAUGAGUGAGUUUGUGCAUUUUUUCAUAUGUUUAAGGGUUAUUCACACUGGUUUUUCUAUGAGCGGUCUAUAUCCUUUGCCCGCUUCUUUUUCUAAGUUUCUUGUUUUUUUAUCCAUUUUGGGGAGCUCUUUUAUAUUAGGAAAUCCAUCCUUUGUCUUGAAUAUAACUGAACAUAUUUUUCCUUGGUGUUUAUAUUGAAAUCACUAUAUCUUUUGACAAUUGAUACUUGCCUUUUCUUUGUCCUGUGAAUUUGUCAUAUGCUGAGAGAUGAAUUAAAGUCUCUUUCUACCGCUGGGUUGUGUCUGUUUCUCCUUGUGUCUCCUAGAAUCUCUUGGUGAAUACUGCUGGUGGGGUAUUCAGUGCAUUAAAAACCACCCUUCAUGUCACAUUUAAUGGUUUGGGGCCCGGAUUUUACUCAGUCUGAUCUUUAUAUGGAGACCACAGCUUUCUUCUUGCUUGCAUGUGCUUGGGUGUACUUGGCCCAUCUUUUAAUUUUCAGUGGAAUGGAAUUGCUUUUGUGGUGCAUGUCUCUUGUGC